AUUCAGUGCAGCUUGGGGCGAUUAACUGAUGGAGAAGAAGCAGUUUAAAAACACGGAGGUGAAGAAGUUCGCUGGUUUGUGCUGAACUCUGAUGUGUUGCGGCUUCGCUCCGGCGAACAGAACAUUUUUUUAACUUUCACACAAGGACCCUGAACAGGAUUUGGGCUGCUGGUGGACACGUGAUGGAGUUUUUGCAGCAUGGUGAUCAACUUUGGGAGUUACAUAGGUGCAGGACUUUACGUUGCAGUGAAAAACGAGCCCACAGUGAGGAAAAAUGCGACGAAAAACAUCCAAAAACAACACAUUGGAACCUGCGCAUUACGAAUAUUUUGUACAUUUAGAAAAUAUCAAUUAGCAACAUCAAUUUCUUCUGUGUAUU